rnacentral:rRNA from 1 species
UACAGAGGGUGCGAGCGUUAAUCGGAAUUACUGGGCGUAAAGCGCGCGUAGGCGGCUUGUUAAGUCAAAUGUGAAAUCCCCGAGCUUAACUUGGGCAUUGCAUUCGAUACUGGCAAGCUAGAGUAUGGGAGAGGAAGGUAGAAUUCCAGGUGUAGCGGUGAAAUGCGUAGAGAUCUGGAGGAAUACCGAUGGCGAAGGCAGCCUUCUGGCCUAAUACUGACGCUGAGGUGCGAAAGCGUGGGGAGCAAACGGG